rnacentral:rRNA from 1 species
UCCUACGGGAGCAGCAGUGGGGAAUAUUGCACAAUGGGCGCAAGCCUGAUGCAGCCAUGCCGCGUGUGUGAAGAAGGCCUUCGGGUUGUAAAGCACUUUCAGUCAGGAGGAAAGGUUAGUAGUUAAUACCUGCUAGCUGUGACGUUACUGACAGAAGAAGCACCGGCUAACUCCGUGCCAGCAGCCGCGGUAAUACGGAGGGUGCGAGCGUUAAUCGGAAUUACUGGGCGUAAAGCGUACGCAGGCGGUUUGUUAAGCGAGAUGUGAAAGCCCCGGGCUCAACCUGGGAACUGCAUUUCGAACUGGCAAACUAGAGUGUGAUAGAGGGUGGUAGAAUUUCAGGUGUAGCGGUGAAAUGCGUAGAGAUCUGAAGGAAUACCGAUGGCGAAGGCAGCCACCUGGGUCAACACUGACGCUCAUGUACGAAAGCGUGGGGAGCAAACAGGAUUAGAUACCCUGGUAGUCCACGCCGUAAACGAUGUCUACUAGAAGCUCGGAGCCUCGGCU